rnacentral:tRNA from 1 species
GCCCUGAUGGUGUAGACCGGUCUAGCACGAAGCCCUGUCGAGGCUUCAACCCGGGUUCAAAAGGAUACUGGAAGUCCCGGUCAGGGCG